rnacentral:rRNA from 1 species
CCGACUAAUGUUGAAAAAUUAGCGGAUGACUUGUGGCUGGGGGUGAAAGGCCAAUCAAACCGGGAGAUAGCUGGUUCUCCCCGAAAGCUAUUUAGGUAGCGCCUCGUGAAUUCAUCUCCGGGGGUAGAGCACUGUUUCGGCAAGGGGGUCAUCCCGACUUACCAACCCGAUGCAAACUGCGAAUACCGGAGAAUGUUAUCACGGGAGACACACGGCGGGUGCUAACGUCCGUCGUGAAGAGGGAAACAACCCAGACCGCCAGCUAAGGUCCCAAAGUCAUGGUUAAGUGGGAAACGAUGUGGGAAGGCCCAGACAGCCAGGAUGUUGGCUUAGAAGCAGCCAUCAUUUAAAGAAAGCGUAAUAGCUCACUGGUCGAGUCGGCCUGCGCGGAAGAUGUAACGGGGCUAAACCAUGCACCGAAGCUGCGGCAGCGACACUGUGUGUUGUUGGGUAGGGGAGCGU